AUAUUAUUGAGCCAAAAUCCAGGGUGGGGUGAGGGUGGAAUUGUCAUUUAUGAUGUGGACAUUAUCAAGGACACAAUCUUCUUGGUAUAAAAUAAUUAUGGGUCUUUAAAGGUGAACAGUUUACUCCCUACAGCCUAGAAGAUUGGACCCUAUUGGAACAAAAAUAAAUUAAAAAAAAAAAACCACAAAAAUAAAUGUUCAGACUAACUCCUAUCCAUGUGACCUUUAAUGAUUUUUUUUAGCUACUUUCAAAACACCAUUCCCCCACUCCACAAAAAAAAAAAAAAAAUCAAUAAAUAAACAUACUAGGUUAAACACUAAGAAACAAAAAAAGGUUGAGAGGUAGACAAAGGAAGUCUGGUUAUAAAAAUUAUACUUAAAGCUGCAUAUCACAAUA
rnacentral:lncRNA from 1 species